rnacentral:rRNA from 1 species
AUUGAACGCUGGCGGCAUGCCUUACACAUGCAAGUCGAACGGCAGCACGGGUGCUUGCCCCUGGUGGCGAGUGGCGAACGGGUGAGUAAUACAUCGGAACAUGUCCUGUAGUGGGGGAUAGCCCGGCGAAAGCCGGAUUAAUACCGCAUACGAUCUACGGAUGAAAGCGGGGGACCUUCGGGCCUCGCGCUAUAGGGUUGGCCGAUGGCUGAUUAGCUAGAUGGUGGGGUAAAGGCCUACCAAGGCGACGAUCAGUAGCUGGUCUGAGAGGACGACCAGCCACACUGGGACUGAGACACGGCCCAGACUCCUACGGGAGGCAGCAGUGGGGAAUUUUGGACAAUGGGCGAAAGCCUGAUCCAGCAAUGCCGCGUGUGUGAAGAAGGCCUUCGGGUUGUAAAGCACUUUUGUCCGGAAAGAAAUCCUUGGCCCUAAUACGGUCGGGGGAUGACGGUACCGGAAGAAUAAGCACCGGCUAACUACGUG